AGGGAGGGGGCGGCGGAGCGCCGAUGUCAUGGAUGGGCUCGGAGGGCCUGGCGGGAGGGGGGCGCCAGUGUUCAGGGCCGUUUUGGUGGCUAGGCGGGAUUGGCCGGAGCCGCGGUGAUCGCGCUCGCCUCGCCGACCGCCAUUUCACAUCCUGCAGAGAAGGCGGGGGCAGCCGCGGAAACGGCUUUUUACAAGAAAUGAUAAAUAGCUGCCAGCCCAACUUCUGAUUCUUAGGCAACUCCAUUUUACCAACAAACCAACCACUCAUUUUGAUUUGGCAACCUGUAUUUUGACAACCCUACUUUGGAUGAAGUUUAAAUAAAGCCAUGGUAAGAUAAUCUACAAAGGGCUAGACGGGUGCAUUUGGGGAUUUAAUCCUGGGAGAAGUUUGGAACAGCUGCUAUGGAUGCUGUGCAGUGUCAGUGAAAGGACUGCUGAUCAGUAGUGAGGCCCACUUACCAACAGGCAGCAUGACUUUUUCUUGGAUCAGCAGUAAUGCUUCACUGCUGGGAAGCAGUGGUAGGAACAGAGACAGCGGUGCAGGCGACCACCUUGGUUUGACUGCGUAGGAGAGGCCUGGGGAGGAGUUUGGGGCAUAGUUGAAAUGACUAGGGGUCCAGAUUGUACACGGAGGCAGGUGAAACCAGAAGGUGAAUUGGGAGGCAGAAGAUGAACAAUUAUUCAUUUUCAUUGGAAGAGGUGGAAGUUCACAGAGAAGAAACAGAAUUUACAGUCUUGGAAGAAUAGUUCUGUGAUAGGGGGGCUAAAAAUCCAAUUUCAUGAGACAGAACUGGAGCUAAAUUUAAAGCAAGAGCUCUGGAGACAA